rnacentral:lncRNA from 1 species
UAUAUCUUGUAAAUUAGCAAUCCAGAAUGUAGACUGAGUUGAAACAUCUUGUAGUUCAGGUUGUAUGAGGAACUCAUGGUUGUAUAUUGUGAAGGAUUGAAGUGAGAUCUCUCUUGUACUCUCUGUCACUCUCUACACAAUUAAAUUACUAGUGUUAAUUGGUACCUUUCCUACAACCUCAUGGCCUACGGUGAGAUGCGUCGGUAAUCGAUUGCCAGGAUGCCUAGGCGACAAGGAGCUGUGUCUGUAUGGCGACAUGGCGUUGUGUCCGUAUGGCAACAAGUCAUUAAUAGUGGUGCAAUUUAUAUAUUAUUAAUUUUACUUUAAAAGUAUAUUGAGCAAUAAAAUUUUAUAUACAUUAAAACCCAAAACAUAAUAACUAAACAAUUUAAAACACAAUAAUAUGAAUACUUGACAAUCAAAAUUCAAAAGUAAAACACUUGACAUUAAAAACUAGUAGAACAAGUCAACAAAUACCACGUAGAAAAUAAAGAAUCAAUCAAGUUAUCUCCCAUCAUACAUUAAUAAAUAAUAAAAUUACACCACAUAACAAGUAUGAUGAGUCAAAAAUGACUUGAUCACUUAACUUGGGAGUUGGGCCAGCUACCAAGGCAUGAGCCUUGGCAGCGUGUUGCCCUUCUCCAGCGCCAGGGCGCUUAGGCGUUGGCUAGUCGACGCCAUGACAACUAUGCCUACAAUAGUUUGAAAGGAGGCUUCCCUGUUUUGGCUCAUUGUUGUUGUUAAAGUCGUCAUAUUUGUAAUAGAUCUAGGGUUGGUUCAGAUCUUUCACAUGAGAAAAAGCUCUAAUGCAUUUAUGGUCUUCAACUUCUAACCAAUUUUAUCUGAUAUGGUGCUGACAAUAAAACUUCAUCUAUUAAAUCUAUCAAUAAUUUUAUUGGUUUAACUAGUCUAUUACAGACAUUAAAUCAAUUCUUUACCUCCAUCCCUGGAUCGCAACAUCUUUCCUUAAUAUUCACUAUUAUUAUACUUUAUAAAAACUCGUUUAUUUAAAACUUACAACACAAUCUUUAUUCCAGAAUCGUACACUUUACAAUUUUCUAUUACAUUUCAAAGAUAUAAAUUAUGACUCACAAUCCAACAAUAACCCUUCUUCUCAACUUCAACACCAUUUAUCUAAUAUAGACUUUUAAUAUUAGCAAGCAUCGAUAAGGGCUUUUUGAUAAUGACUUCUUCUUAUUGGCGCGCAAUUAGAUAAUCUAACCCCUUUCAUCGACAAAACUUUCUAGACAUUGCCAAUAAUGUUAACCUAGCAUAGUUAGAUGACUCCUACAUUUACUAGCUUAAAUGUGCAGUACACAAACAAUACAUUCUUAAAAUAAUUCCCAACUCUUUUAAUCACAUCUCCAAAGUUAUUACAACUUCAAGUUCUAUUACAUGAAAAGAGAAGACGAUAAACGCGCCUUAUAGGGCCUCCCGUAGCUCUACAUAUAGACUCCUACACGCGUAGGGGAUGCUUAGCAGCCUCGAAGACAACAAUAAUAAUUUCUCUUGACCUAACUACUCUUCUUUCACUUUCUCUUUACUGUCAGAUUCUACUGGUAAUUCUUCCUUAACUGCAAAUACGAUUUUAUUCGCAAGAAUAAGCACAAAUGCUCAGCAAGUCUAACAGAUAACACAUUUUACACUUCUCAAGUUUAUACAAAUAAUAGAGUUCACACUACUCAAGUUAUAAGGUUCACACUACCCAAGUUUAUAGAGUUCACAAUCCUCAAGUUAUAUAAGUAAUUCAUAUAUCACAACUAACUUCACACAACUGAAAUUCAAAACAGUUUUAUAGCACAUCGUUGCACAUAAAAACAAUUAGAAACUUGCAUAUAGUCCGAAAAAUUUGUCUGAUUCCGCUUCUAUAGUUUACGCUAGUUUUUGUAUCUUUCGGUCAACCUAUAUAAUUCACGAGAUCGACAUACAAUUUAGUCAAAAUAUGACUCCUUACUUUACUUCACCUUAACUAGCCUUGGAUAUGAGUUUUAUUUCAUAACUUUAUCUUUUAUGUCCAAUUACCAAACACUUGGCAAAACAAGCUUCGGAAAGACUCGGACAAAAGUAUUCUAUAAGUGUAGCGCUUGGACGCCCUAAGGCAUCGCCCAAUUUUCAGCUUUGUGCAAUUUACCCUACUUGAUUCAAGCAUGCAUAACUUUCAAUCUACUUGGUAUUGAUUCUUUUUCCUACGCGUUCGUAACUUCCCACUCUAUAACUUGGAUAUUCAUUUCAUGAUCAAAUCCAAACAUAUGAGGCUGCACACCUCUUGCAAAAACUACUAAAUCUAGGUUUUACAUAGCUUAAAUCUAACUUUGGUUGAUUAAAUUGUCUAAGGCACUUCUUUAGCAAAUUUAGCAUACUUGAUGAUUUAAUUAAUACUAACAUACAAUCAUGAUUUAUUUGAUCCACAAUAGGGUUGUCUAAUAAAUCCAUUAGGUUGCUUAGUCUAUCAAGUUUUACUACUUAUAUAUACUAACACGCAUCUUCAUGUUUUACACCAUUCAUUUAGUGAAUUAAGACAUCGCUUAACUUAGCUUAACAUGCUAUUAACAUACAAAUUAUUAACUUUAGCAUGCUAUACAUCGAUAAAUUAACGAACCACUACAAGUCAUAAAUUACCUCUUGAAAUUGCAAACUUUACGUUUAACUUGAUUAUGUAAGACCUUAAACUCCUCCUUCAAUUAGCAAUUGAUCUUACAAUAGUUCUCUCUUAUAAUUCUUGUGAAUUGGUGAAGGAAAAUAAUAUGGCAUAAGGCUUCUAUUUAUAGGCAAGCAAGAUCAGGGCAUAAGGGUCAUCUAGCCA